UACGGAGGUGGCAAGCGUUACUCGGAAUCAUUGGGUGUAAAGGGCAAGUAGGCGGUCUAUUAAGUGAGGGGUGAAAUCCUGCGACUCAAUCGCAGAACUGCCUUUCAAACUGUUAGACUUGAGGUAGGAAGAGGGAAGUGGAAUUCGCGGUGUAAGGGUGAAAUCUGUAGAUAUCGCGAAGAACACCAGUGGCGAAGGCGACUUCCUGGUCCUUACCUGACGCUGAAUUGCGAAAGCUAGGGGAGCAAACAGAAUUAGAUACUCUGGUAGUCCUAGCCGUAAACGAUGAGCACUAGGUGUUGGGUCGCGAGACUCAGCGCCGCAGCCAACGCAUUAAGUGCUCCACCUGAGGACUACGAUCGCAAGGUUAAA
rnacentral:rRNA from 1 species